GUGGGGAAUAUUGGACAAUGGGGGGAACCCUGAUCCAGCCAUGCCGCGUGUGUGAAGAAGGCCUUUUGGUUGUAAAGCACUUUAAGCGAGGAGGAGGCUACCGAGAUUAAUACUCUUGGAUAGUGGACGUUACUCGCAGAAUAAGCACCGGCUAACUCUGUGCCAGCAGCCGCGGUAAUACAGAGGGUGCAAGCGUUAAUCGGAUUUACUGGGCGUAAAGCGCGCGUAGGUGGCCAAUUAAGUCAAAUGUGAAAUCCCCGAGCUUAACUUGGGAAUAGCAUUCAAUACUGGUUGGGUAGAGUAUGGUAGAGGAUGGUAGAAUUCCAGGUGUAGCGGUGAAAUGCGUAGAGAUCUGGAGGAAUACCGAUGGCGAAGGCAGCCAUCUGGCCUAAUACUGACACUGAGGUGCGAAAGCAUGGGGAGCAAACAGGAUUAGAUACCCCGGUAGUCC
rnacentral:rRNA from 1 species